AGUUUAAACAACGAAUUCACCUGGAGUACUAGUCAAUAAAUCUAAGAAAGAAAAAACCGUGUGGUGAUAACGUGAAAUAAUGUUCUAGGCCUGUUACAGUAGCAAGUGAAUUACAAUGCAAAGGAAAGGAAGGAAAUGAAGAACUUACAUACCUGGAGACGAAGCCGACUGCACUGGUGCACUGUCUGAUCGGGCGCUCUCUCCUCUGUGUCUUGCUUUCCUCCUCGUCUUCUCUUGUUCUUUCUUUCAGCUGGCUUUGUUUUUCUUGUUAUCUCUGUCUCUCUUUAUUCUCUGUUUUUCAUCAUUUCUGGUUUUUCACCCGAUUUCUGCUUGUUCAUCCCUCUGAGUUUUUUUUCUGUUCGUCCCUCUGGUUUUUCUCUGGUUGCUGCUGAAGAUGGAGCUGUGGAGCUGCUACUGAAGACGAAGUCGAGGGCGUGCUACAGGAAUACACAAGUCUCCCCUUCUGUUUUUCACUUAUCUUCCUCUUCGUCAUGGCCUUUCUCUGGCUUUUAUAAAGCCAGAGAAUGCCAUGCGGUCGCCCAGCAAAUGAAACGGACUCGCAGGAUCGUUACUAUAAUAAUGAAGACGCAUCAUGGGGCAGGCGAGACGUCUAUUUUCCAUUCUGGUCUGAUGAAGCGAAGAAGAUGAACAGUGUUAUUUCAAACGGCGCUGUUUUUGGGAUGGGAAUGGUCAUUUGCAGUUUGGUCACAGAAGUCGUGAAAUUGUGUAAUCCGGCCCCCUUAUUCAGGAAAAUCCCCUUUCAAUUUCGCCCCUGGCUAAAUUGCAAUUGGACCCCUAGAGUUUAGCACAAUUCACAAAACAGUCCUUGGUUUCUGAAUUAUUCAAUUAAGUCUGUAAUUGACUUUCAACUUUUAAUUGUUUCAAAAUUACCCCUGGCAAAAUCAAUUAAGCGCCCUACAGUACUUUUUAUUUUUUAUUUUAA